GCAAUUGAGGUUCACAGCAAAAUUGAGAGGAAGGAACAGAGAUUGUCCAUAAAACCACUGAUUGUGCAUGUGUGUAGAUCCUGGGAGGCUAUCAACAUCUUCAACCAGAGCUGUACAUUUAUUACAAUUGAUGAGCCUGCAUUGGCAUAUCAUCACCCAAAGUUGACAAUUUACAUUAGGAUUCACUCUUGGUGUUGUAUAUUCUAUGGAUUUGGACAAAGGUGGCUGUACUACUUUGUCUUCCUAGAGACAUUUCUAAUAAUGUUGCUUCACAUCAUUGACAACAUUCGAUGUUGCCAGUCUUCUGAAUUUUGGCCAUUCUAACAGAAGCCAACGAUCAAAGAAAUGAGACUUACCAGAUCACCACAUCUGGACAAUGAGACAUCAGACACUUUACCUGUCAUGGUUGCCUAACCAACCACUUGUUUCCUGUUGACCAAGUCCUCUUCCUUACCACUCUCUAAUCUGUGUUUUCCCACACAUAGUUACAUUUUUUCCCUGCUAUAUAAACUUCUAAUUUUAGUUGGUUGAGGAGAUGGCUUUGAGACUGAUUUCCCAUCUCCUCAGCUGAAGCACCUGAAUAAAGCCUUAUUUCCUGGAAAUAUUCAUUGUCUCAGUGAUUGGCUUUCUGUGUGGCAAGCCACAGGACCUAGACCAAACCCCUGGUGUUUUGAUAACAAAUACACAUGGUAUCAAAAGAUUUGAUGGAAUUCAGUAGUUAUUCCAGGCAAAGGAAAGUCUUAUUUCCACAGUCACUUUUAUUUAAUUUUUGAAGAUCUUUUGAGACAGGGUCUUACUCUGUUGUCCGGGCUGGAAUGCAGUGGAAUGAUGUCAGCUUGCUGUAGCCUCAGCUUCAUGGAGUCAAGUGAUCCUCCUGCCUCAGACUUCCAAGUAGCUAGGACUACAGAUGCACACGACCAUGCCUGGCUAAUCUUUAUUUUAUUUUGUUUUUUGUAGAGAUAGGGUUUCAUCACAUUGCUCAGGUUGGUCUCAAACUCCUGAACUCAAGCAAUCUUCCUGCUUUGGCCUCCCAAAGUACAAGGACUACAGGCAUGAGACACUGUGCCCAGCCUAUAUUUUCAAAUUUGGCAUAACUCACUUGUGUCAACAGUCAUUACAUCAUUGGAAAAUUCAUAAUAAACUAAAGAAGUUUGGUCAAAGCACUGUGAUAUGGUUUGGCUCUGUGUCCCCACCCAAAUCUCAUCUCUAAUCAAAACUCCCCUGUUUUGGGUGAGGGACCUGAUGGGUGGUGAUUGAAUAAUGGGGACAGACUUCUCCCUUGCCAUUCUUGUGAUACUAAGUAAGUUCUCACCAGAUCCGGUUGUCUGAAAGUGUGUAGCACUUCCUCCUUCACACUCUCUCUCUCUCCUGUCGCCAUGUGAAGACACGUGUGCUCCCCUCCGCCUUACACUAUGAUUGUAAGUUUCCUGAGGUCUCUCAGUCAUGCUUCCUGUUAAGCAUGAAAGCACUGAGCCAAUUAAACCUCUUUUAUUUAUAAAUUUCCCAGUCUCAGGUAAUUCUUUGCAGCAUGUGAAAAUGGACUAAUAUACACUAAAACCAUCUUAAGCAGCAAUGAUAUAAUGAAAACCAUGUGAUGUGAU
ensembl:lncRNA